rnacentral:rRNA from 1 species
ACUUAAGCAUAUCAAUAAGCGGAGGAAAAGAAACCAACAGGGAUUGCCCUAGUAACGGCGAGUGAAGCGGCAACAGCUCAAAUUUGAAAUCUGGCCCUAGGCCCGAGUUGUAAUUUGUAGAGGAUGCUUCUGGCGACGUGCCUUCCGAGUUCCCUGGAACGGGACGCCAUAGAGGGUGAGAGCCCCGUCCGGUCGUGCACCUAGCCUCUGUGAAGCUCCUUCGACGAGUCGAGUAGUUUGGGAAUGCUGCUCUAAAUGGGAGGUAUACGUCUUCUAAAGCUAAAUACCGGCCAGAGACCGAUAGCGCACAAGUAGAGUGAUCGAAAGAUGAAAAGCACUUUGAAAAGAGGGUUAAAUAGUACGUGAAAUUGCUGAAAGGGAAGCGCUUAUGACCAGACUUGGGCCGGUUAAUCAUCCAGCGUUCUCGCUGGUGCACUUUGCCGGUCCAGGCCAGCAUCAGUUUGCCUUGGGGGAUAAAGGCUUCGGGAAUGUAGCUCCCUCGGGAGUGUUAUAGCCCGUUGUGUAAUACCCUGGGGCAGACUGAGGUACGCGUUCUGCAAGGAUGCUGGCGUAAUGGUCAUCAGUGACCCGUCUUGAAACACGGACCAAGGAGUCGUCUUCGUAUGCGAGUGUUCGGGUGUCAAACCCCUACGCGUAAUGAAAGUGAACGUAGGAGAGAGCUUCGGCGCAUCUCCGACCGAUCCUGAUGUUCUCGGAUGGAUUUGAGUAAGAGCAUACGGGGCCGGACCCGAAAGAAGGUGAACUAUGCCUGUAUAGGGUGAAGCCAGAGGAAACUCUGGUGGAGGCUCGCAGCGGUUCUGACGUGCAAAUCGAUCGUCAAAUA